CCUACGGGAGGCAGCAGUGAGGAAUAUUGGUCAAUGGACGAGAGUCUGAACCAGCCAAGUAGCGUGAAGGAUGACUGCCCUAUGGGUUGUAAACUUCUUUUAUAUGGGAAUAAAAUGUUCCACGUGUGGCAUUUUGUAUGUACCAUAUGAAUAAGGAUCGGCUAACUCCGUGCCAGCAGCCGCGGUAAUACGGAGGAUCCGAGCGUUGUCCGGAUUUAUUGGGUUUAAUGGGAGCGUAGGUGGAUUGUUAAGUCAGUUGUGAAAGUUUGCGGCUCAACCGUAAAAUUGCAGUUGAAACUGGCAGUCUUGAGUACAGUAGAGGUAGGCGGAAUUCGUGGUGUAGCGGUGAAAUGCUUAGAUAUCACGAAGAACUCCGAUUGCGAAGGCAGCUCACUGGACUGCGACUGACACUGAGGCGCGAAAGUGUGGGUAUCAAACAGGAUUAGAUACCCGAGUAGUC
rnacentral:rRNA from 1 species